rnacentral:rRNA from 1 species
UACGUAGGAUGCAAGCGUUGUCCGGAGUUACUGGGCGUAAAGCGUGCGUAGGCGGUCGUGUGCGUCUGUAGUGAAAUCUCCCGGCUCAACCGGGAGGGCGGUAUGGAUACGGCACGACUUGAGGGCGGCAGAGGAAAGUGGAACUCCCGGUGGACCAGUGAAAUGGGUAGAGAUCGGGAAGAACACCAGAGGUGCAGACGGCUUUCUGGACCGCACCUGACGCUGAGGCACGAAAGCAUGGGGAG